rnacentral:rRNA from 1 species
UACGUAGGGUGCGAGCGUUGUCCGGAAUUACUGGGCGUAAAGGGCUCGUAGGCGGCCAACUAAGUCGGAUGUGAAAUCCCCAGGCUUAACCUGGGAACUGCAUCCGAUACUGGAUGGCUUGAAUCCGGGAGAGGGAUGCAGAAUUCCAGGUGUAGCGGUGAAAUGCGUAGAUAUCUGGAGGAAUACCGGUGGCGAAGGCGGCAUCCUGGACCGGCAUUGACGCUGAGGAGCGAAAGCUAGGGGAGCAAACGGG